rnacentral:rRNA from 1 species
AUACGGAGGGUGCAAGCGUUAUUCGGAAUCACUGGGCGUAAAGGACGCGUAGGCGGGUUGGCAAGUCAGAUGUGAAAUCCUACAGCUUAACUGUAGAACUGCAUUUGAAACUGCUAACCUAGAGUAUGGGAGGGGGAGAUGGAAUUAGUGGUGUAGGGGUAAAAUCCGUAGAUAUCACCAGGAAUACCGAAAGCGAAGGCGAUCUCCUGGAACAUAACUGACGCUAAGGCGUGAAAGCGUGGGGAGCAAACAGGAUUAGAUACCCCAGUAGUCC